GGGACCGUGGGGUAGCUUGGUUUAUCCUCGUAGCUUUGGGAGCUAUGGACCUGAGUUCAAAUCUCGGCGGUCCCA
rnacentral:tRNA from 2 species